rnacentral:lncRNA from 1 species
GGCAUCAUGUCCAUCUGCCUUUGGCCGUGUAAGCAAUUAAUGAAUGAGUGACACCAUGAGCGCGUCAGGAGACGAGCGGUCUAUGAUCCGGGCUGAGGACUGUGAGAAUUAGGGGAAAGUUCACAGCACAGAGAAUGCCCACAUUAUGGGUUGGAGGUUUUUUUUUUUGCCAGACAACCCACAGUGACCACAGAGAAGGAGGCGCGUUAACCCUUUCCUGUCUAAGUGGGUGAAAGGUAACUGGGCGACUGCUGACGGUGCUGAGAGGGGAAGCUCGGUUCAAAGGGACCGCAGGCCUCUCACGUAUGCGUCUGGAAUGCGACAAACAUGCCUUUUUUCCCCCUCAAAGCCUCGGCACGGAGGGAUUUCCACCGGGACGCCGUGUUCUGGGGUAAAAAUAGGCUUUUUCCCUUUGAACGGCGACUCGUGCGGGGUCAGCGCGGACGCCGUCGCCUGUGUUUGUUCAGACUGACAGACCUGCGUAUUAAACCCGGCUAUGACUCAGAUGCCUCCAGUUACAGUAAAGGGCGAUUACGCCGGAUCCAAACAUGUUCUCACACUUGUUUUUUACAGGUGGUGGAGGAGCGGCGACUUGGCAGAGCAGACAGACGCCUGCUGAUCAUCGUGAACCUCUCAGAGCGACGGGAGUUUAAUGAACCCGGAGCUUCGGGCCUUCACUUCCUGACGUGUGGCCCGAAGCCGGCAUCUUAUCAGCAGAGACGCUUCACAUUCGCGGAGCUCUACUCCUCUGCAUCCUGUCAUUCCAGAGCCCAUCAUCACCGGAUCCGCACCACAGCUGCUUGUUCAAUUUCCCGAAAUGGCCGCAUCUAUAUACAGCACGCUGACCUUUUACCCAGAUUGUACACAGAACAUCUGUAAAUCAGGGCUGCAUUCAAACGCAGCCGAGUACCGUGACAUGGUAAAGAAAAAAAAAAAAAAAGGACUACAGGGUUUUAUAUUGAAUGAUUCUUCCAAUUGAGUACAUUUAUUACCUUAGAAGAUGCUUAUAAAUAAAGAAUUUGUCUCCCUACA